rnacentral:rRNA from 1 species
AACGAACGCUGGCGGCACGCCUAACACAUGCAAGUCGAACGGGAUCUUCGGAUCUAGUGGCGGACGGGUGAGUAACGCGUGCGAGCGUGCCCUUUGGUUCGGAAUAGCUCUGGGAUACUGGGAGUCAUACCGGACGUGGUCGAGAGACGAAAGAUUUAUCGCCAAAGGAUCGGCCCGCGUUGGAUUAGGUAGUUGGUGGGGUAAUGGCCUACACAGCCGACGAUCCAUAGCCGUUUUGAGCGGAUGAUCAGCCACACUGGGACUGAGCCACGGGCCGGACUCCUACGGGAGGCAGCAGGGGCGGAUCCUAGACCAUAGGGGAAACCCUGACCUAGCCAUGCCGCGUGAGCGAUGAACGCCUUAGGGUUGUAACGCUCUUUCGUGGGGGAAGAUAAUGACUGUACCCCAAGAAGAAGCCCCCGCUAACUCCGUGCCAUCAGCCGCGGUAAAAC